GACGCGAUGGCCGAGCGGUUAAGGCGUGUGACUAGAAAUCACAUCUCUUCGGAGGCGUAGGUUCAAAUCCUGCUCGCGUCG
rnacentral:tRNA from 1 species